UGGGAGCUGCCUGGCCACACUUUGCCUUCUACUGAGUGAGCAAACCCUCAGCCCAGUUCCUUUCAGGGUGCAGGGUUUUCUCUCCAGUCUGAGAUCCUCUCCCCUUUCCCUGUCCUCCAGCCCACAGGGGUCUUCCCCCCGCCCCAACUCCCAAAGGUCAUUAUCUCAUUUAGAC
rfam:Loxodonta africana unplaced genomic scaffold scaffold_96, whole genome shotgun sequence.